rnacentral:misc_RNA from 1 species
GUGAGGAGGACUUCUCCUCGGAGUGGAAACAAGGAAACACGCCCAAAGAGAAGUCUUGAAACCCUGCCUUUGGCGGGGUUUCUUUUU